rnacentral:rRNA from 1 species
GACGAACGCUGGCGGCAGGCCUAACACAUGCAAGUCGAGCGAAGACUCCCGGCCUUUCGGCGGACGGCGGAGUAACACGGGGGAACGUGCCCUUUGCUACGGAAUACCUCUGGGAAAGUGGAAGUAAUAAAGGAUGAGCCCUUAGCGGGAAAGAUCUAUUGGCGUAGGAUCGGCCCUCGUUGGAUUAGGUGGUUGGUGGGGUAAUGGCCUACCAAGGCGAGGAUGCAUAGCUGGUUUGAGAGGAUGACCAGCAACGCUUGGACUGAGACACGGCCCAGACUCGUACGCAAGGGAGGAGUGGGUAAUCUUAUACAAUGGAGGCAGCUCUGAUCUAGCCAUGCCGCGUAAGCGAUGAAGGCCUUAGGGAUGUAAUGCUCUUUCAGCUGGGAAGAUAGUGACGGUACCAGCAGAAGAAGCCCCGGCUAACUACGUG